rnacentral:rRNA from 1 species
UCCAGCCAGCCAUAUCACCCUGCAGCUCUCAACUGGCUAUCCACUGAAGCCGAGCAGGGUUGAGCUUGGUCAGUACCUGGAUAGGAGUCCUCUUGGGAAGCUCUCGUUGCUGCUGGAA